CUAGCGCUACCAUAAUUCGCCUAAAGCAGGUGCAGCAACUUUCACCCGGCCCCGCAGCUGGCGGCGAGCGAAAGGAGACCACGUGGGCCAAACUUUAGAGGAAGAAAAAGUGGGGAAGACAUAGGGCUGCGAAUCUGUAAAAAGGAGGUCAUUCCGGACUCCUGACGCUGCCAGUCCCUUGGUGAGACGUGAGCGCCAUUGGCGUCCGUGGCCUCUGUUUCCGUGGCAACCCAGUAACCAUUAAUUUUCAAUUAAAGGAGACAAAAAGCUCGAUGACAGCUCCAGGUCUGCUGAAGAUGUCAAGAAUCUGUAUUAAUAUACAGCAAGAGAGCAUAAUUGUGUGUCCAUCUUCCAGAGCAGCGAAAAAUGGAGGGAUAAUUACCAGCUCGAAAGCCACUCUGUAAUUUAGUUCUUACUGUCACCACAGCCCUACACAUUAGCAUAAAUUAAAAGCAGAGUUUAUUGUUAUCAAAGUGCA